rnacentral:rRNA from 1 species
UGGGGAAUUUUGGACAAUGGGCGAAAGCCUGAUCCAGCAAUGCCGCGUGUGUGAAGAAGGCCUUCGGGUUGUAAAGCACUUUUGUCCGGAAAGAAAUCCUUGGCUCUAAUACAGUCGGGGGAUGACGGUACCGGAAGAAUAAGCACCGGCUAACUACGUGCCAGCAGCCGCGGUAAUACGUAGGGUGCAAGCGUUAAUCGGAAUUACUGGGCGUAAGCGUGCGCAGGCGGUUUGCUAAGACCGAUGUGAAAUCCCCGGGCUCACCUGGGAACUGCAUUGGUGACUGGCAGGCUAGAGUAUGGCAGAGGGGGGUAGAAUUCCACGUGUAGCAGUGAAAUGCGUAGAGAUGUGGAGGAAUACCGAUGGCGAAGGCAGCCCCCUGGGCCAAUACUGACGCUCAUGCACGAAAGCGUGGGGAGCAAACAGGAUUAGUACCCUGGUAGUCCACGCCCUAAACGAUGUCACUAGUUGUUGGGGAUUCAUUCCUUAGUAACGUAGCUAA